UGUCGAGGGGACGAACGGCUCUGCGGUUAAUACCCGCAGAGCGUGACGGUACCCUCAAAGGAAGCACCGGCUAACUCCGUGCCAGCAGCCGCGGUAAUACGGAGGGUGCAAGCGUUGUUCGGAAUUACUGGGCGUAAAGCGCGUGUAGGCGGCUUGGCAAGUCGGAUGUGAAAUCCCCGGGCUCAACCCGGGAACUGCAUCCGAAACUGCUUCGCUAGAGUCUCGGAGAGGAAGGCAGAAUUCCCAGUGUAGGGGUGAAAUCCGUAGAUACUGGGAGGAAUACCGGCAGCGAAGGCGGCCUUCUGGACGAUGACUGACGCUGAGACGCGAAAGCGUGGGGAGCAAACAGGAUUAGAUACCCUGGUAGUCCACGCCGUAAACGUUGUGCACUAGGUGUCGGGAGUAUUCACCCUCCCGGUGCCGACGCUAACGCAAUAAGUGCACCGCCUGGGGAGUACGGCCGCAAGGCUA
rnacentral:rRNA from 1 species